rnacentral:rRNA from 1 species
GAGUUUGAUCGUGACUCAGAUUGAACGCUGGCGGCAUGCCUUACACAUGCAAGUCGAACGGCAGCACGGGAGCUUGCUCCUGGUGGCGAGUGGCGAACGGGUGAGUAAUGCAUCGGAACGUAUCCUGGAGUGGGGGAUAACGUAGCGAAAGUUACGCUAAUACCGCAUAUUCUGUGAGCAGGAAAGCGGGGGACCUUCGGGCCUCGCGCUCUUGGAGCGGCCGAUGUCGGAUUAGCUAGUUGGUGAGGUAAAGGCUCACCAAGGCGACGAUCCGUAGCAGGUCUGAGAGGAUGAUCUGCCACACUGGAACUGAGACACGGUCCAGACUCCUACGGGAGGCAGCAGUGGGGAAUUUUGGACAAUGGGGGCAACCCUGAUCCAGCCAUGCCGCGUGAGUGAAGAAGGCC